rnacentral:rRNA from 1 species
UACGAAGGGGGCUAGCGUUGCUCGGAAUCACUGGGCGUAAAGCGCACGUAGGCGGAUCUUUAAGUCAGGGGUGAAAUCCUGGAGCUCAACUCCAGAACUGCCUUUGAUACUGGGGAUCUCGAGUCCGGGAGAGGUGAGUGGAACUCCGAGUGUAGAGGUGAAAUUCGUAGAUAUUCGCAAGAGCACCAGUGGCGAAGGCGGCUCACUGGCCCGGUACUGACGCUGAGGUGCGAAAGCGUGGGGAGCAAACAGG